rnacentral:rRNA from 1 species
GACGAACGCUGGCGGCGUGCUUAACACAUGCAAGUCGAACGAAGUGGCGAACGGGUGAGUAACGCGUAAUCAACCUGCCCUUCAGAGGGGGACAACAGUUGGAAACGACUGCUAAUCCGCCAUCUUGAGGGGGGGGUUGGGGUCGGAUUAGGUAGUUGGGGGGUAAACGGCCAACCAAGGCGAUGAUCAGUAGCCGGUCUGAGAGGAUGAACGGCCAAAGUGGGACUGAGACACGGCCCAGACUCCUACGGGAGGCAGCAGUGGGGAAUCGUCCGAAAUGGACGAAAGUCUGACGGAGCAACGCCGCGUGAGUGAUGACGGCCUUCGGGUUGUAAAGCUCUGUUAAUCGGGACGCGGUACCGGAAGAGAAAGCCACGGCUAACUACGUGCCAGCCGCCGCGAUAAUAC